GUGAACGCUGGCGGUAGGCCUAACACAUGCCAGUCGAACGGCAGCACCGUAAGAGCUUGCUCUUACGGGUGGCGAGUGGCGGACGGGUGAGGAAUACAUCGGAAUCUACUUUUUCGUGGGGGAUAACGUAGGGAAACUUACGCUAAUACCGCAUACGACCUACGGGUGAAAGCAGGGGAUCUUCGGCCCUUGCGCGAUUGAAUGAGCCGAUGUCGGAUUAGCUAGUUGGCGGGGUAAAGGCCCACCAAGGCGACGAUCCGUAGCUGGUCUGAGAGGAUGAUCAGCCACACUGGAACUGAGACACGGUCCAGACUCCUACGGGAGGCAGCAGUGGGGAAUAUUGGACAAUGGGCGCAAGCCUGAUCCAGCCAUACCGCGUGGGUGAAGAAGGCCUUCGGGUUGUAAAGCCCUUUUGUUGGGAAAGAAAAGCAGCAGGUUAAUACCCCGCUGUUCUGACGGUACCCAAAGAAUAAGCACCGGCUAACUUCGUG
rnacentral:rRNA from 1 species